rnacentral:rRNA from 1 species
GACGAACGCUGGCGGCGUGCCUAAUACAUGCAAGUCGAGCGAGCGGAACCAACAGAUUUACUUCGGUAAUGACGUUGGGAAAGCGAGCGGCGGAUGGGUGAGUAACACGUGGGGAACCUGCCCCUAAGUCUGGGAUACCAUUUGGAAACAGGUGCUAAUACCGGAUAAUAAAGCAGAUCGCAUGAUCAGCUUUUGAAAGGCGGCGUAAGCUGUCGCUAAGGGAUGGCCCCGCGGUGCAUUAGCUAGUUGGUAAGGUAACGGCUUACCAAGGCGACGAUGCAUAGCCGAGUUGAGAGACUGAUCGGCCACAUUGGGACUGAGACACGGCCCAAACUCCUACGGGAGGCAGCAGUAGGGAAUAUUGGUCAAUGGGCGCAGGCCUGAACCAGCCAAGUCGCGUGAGGGAAGACGGUCCUACGGAUUGUAAACCUCUUUUGUCGGGGAGUAACGUGCGGGACGCGUCCCGUAUUCGAGAGUACCCGAGAAAAG